rnacentral:lncRNA from 1 species
CUUUUCAGCCUCCAGCAGGUCCCUUCAUUCCAUUCCCUCCGCCUUACACGGACCUAAAAGAGUACCUAAGGCGUAUUAGUGGUUUCUUUUCAAAAGGGAUUUAUUUUGACCGUAGCUUUUAGACAGCUAACAGCUAAGCCACUAAUCACACAGCUAAUAAAGUCGGUCACUACUGAGACAGCUCAUAAAAGUAGUUUCACCCCUAUUCCCUCUAAAGCUUCGGGUUCAUCUCUGUUCAGGUUCAAGGGAGGGGGGACCCAGACUUUAGAUCUCUUCUCUAUGGCGGGAGGUUUCUUUCGUAUCCAGAGUGUGUUGGGGAGGCCAGGGAAGACGGAUUGGAUCGAGCUAUGUCUAUGGCUAUGGCACAAAGGCUUGCUCAACUUGGAGAAGAAAUCGAACGCGUCGAGAACCAGCUCUUCUUUCCUCAUCCUCUGAGGUUACCCGUAAAUCUACCCUUCAGAUCUUACCACCGAACUUACCUUCUGCGCUCUUCGAAUUUCUGAUUCUACGGAAUGUUAGUUUUCAAUCUCAUUUGAGAGUCGUAGUUCUAUUGCGCUGGGGCUGCUCCUUAGUCGUUGGCCUCCUUUGCUUCUUGGCUGUAGCACUUCUCUUGCGUGCGCAGGUUCCCCUAGCUCUGUUCAUGGAUCUAUUCUAAGACUAAAAAUGGGGGCUAAAGCCCUUUAUGAAUAUUCAUAGAGUAUAUACUCUAUUUUGAAAGAUAGGUUUGGAAAUCCACUGAAAGGGAACUCUUCCAAGUUUUCUUUCCUAUCCAACGGAAAACUGCUUUCACUGCGACUUUGCAGCUCCGAAGAGAAGGAAGUAGCUUGACUUUCACGACUAUCAGGGCACCUACUGAACUAGAUGCAACUCAAAAGUUCCGCGCUCUCUAUCCCCUUUUUUUGAGGUCCUCAUGAACCGCUUUUUAGUAUUCGUGUUCGCUUUCUUUCUUCCUUCUCUUCCACACGGAAGGAUCCUGGGGUUCUCCCAACAUACAUAUCCGGGGGUGCAACUGUUUAGUAAGCAAGGACUUGCUGCUCGCUCGCUGUCUACUAAAUGAGCCUUCACUGCCCGCCCGGCCCCUCUCUUUAAUCUUAAGUAAAGUGAAGUCAAAUCAAUGAAGUGAACAGCCCAACCUCUUUGUUUGAAGCUUUGCCAGGAAGCUUCUACUUGUUGAAGCUUUGUUUCCCCUAAUAACGAAACACAACAAUAGACUUGCAACUAUAGUCUCCGACCGAGCAAAGCGCCUUGCUGGUUCUAUCUAAAUAAGAGAGUAGGCGUGCGUUUGGUUUUAUUAGGAUUUCCAUAUCUGCCCACCUUCCUUUAUUUCAAGGUGAGAUAAGCGCCUCCAGGUUGUCUGGUCAUUUUUUUAGUAUCUGAAUCAUAGAUUAUGCCAUACUAUUAUAUGGAUUUCUUC